UACGAAGGGGCUAGCGUUGUUCGGAUUUACUGGGCGUAAAGCGCACGUAGGCGGAUUGUUAAGUCAGGGUGAAAUCCUGGAGCUCAACUCCAGAACUGCCUUUGAUACUGGCGAUCUUGAGUCCGGGAGAGGUGAGUGGAACUGCGAGUGUAGCGGUGAAAUGCGUAGAUAUCGUAAGGAAGACCAGUGGCGAAGGCGGGUCUCUGGACAGUUCCUGACGCUGAGGCACGAAGGCCAGGGGAGCAAACGGG
rnacentral:rRNA from 1 species